rnacentral:rRNA from 1 species
ACUAACAACAUACAUCUACAUUUUGGUAGCUUAUUUCAUCAGAACUUCAUAGUUAAGUGUGUUUGACUUGAAGUAAUAUAGUGAUGGGUGACCUUCUGGAAAGUCUUACAAAAAUUGUGCAAGUA